GUCCCUUUGGUGUAGUCGUUAGCAUGUCGCUUUCCGGUUUUUGCUCAAUCGGUGGACGGCGAGGGUCAGCGGUUCAAAUCCGCUAAGGGACU